CGAGCCGAGGAAUCAUAGGUCCAGGCGGUGUCGAAAUGGGUCUAUAGCUCUGCCUGAACUGUCGUCCAAUUGGUUUACAAGUCCGGCUGAAGUGACAGGCCAUCAAAAACUGUACAGUGUGACUGAUUCGGAGACGGCCCUCAACACUCGCCCAGUCGUGUCGAGAGGAUCGGUGUCUUUGCAGAUUACACGGAAUUGAGCACCCGGGCCAGACUGACACUUUCCGGAGCCUGCCCUAGACGGAACUCGAGCCGAGGAAUCAUAGGUCCAGGCGGUGUCGAAAUGGGUCUAUAGCUCUGCCUGAACUGUCGUCCAAUUGGUUUACAAGUCCGGCUGAAGUGACAGGCCAUCAAAAACUGUACAGUGUGACUGAUUCGGAGACGGCCCUCAACACUCGCCCAGUCGUGUCGAGAGGAUCGGUGUCUUUGCAGAUUACACGGAAUUGAGCACCCGGGCCAGACUGACACUUUCCGGAGCCUGCCCUAGACGGAACUCGAGCCGAGGAAUCAUAGGUCCAGGCGGUGUCGAAAUGGGUCUAUAGCUCUGCCUGAACUGUCGUCCAAUUGGUUUACAAGUCCGGCUGAAGUGACAGGCCAUCAAAAACUGUACAGUGUGACUGAUUCGGAGACGGCCCUCAACACUCGCCCAGUCGUGUCGAGAGGAUCGGUGUCUUUGCAGAUUACACGGAAUUGAGCACCCGGGCCAGACUGACACUUUCCGGAGCCUGCCCUAGACGGAACUCGAGCCGAGGAAUCAUAGGUCCAGGCGGUGUCGAAAUGGGUCUAUAGCUCUGCCUGAACUGUCGUCCAAUUGGUUUACAAGUCCGGCUGAAGUGACAGGCCAUCAAAAACUGUACAGUGUGACUGAUUCGGAGACGGCCCUCAACACUCGCCCAGUCGUGUCGAGAGGAUCGGUGUCUUUGCAGAUUACACGGAAUUGAGCACCCGGGCCAGACUGACACUUUCCGGAGCCUGCCCUAGACGGAACUCGAGCCGAGGAAUCAUAGGUCCAGGCGGUGUCGAAAUGGGUCUAUAGCUCUGCCUGAACUGUCGUCCAAUUGGUUUACAAGUCCGGCUGAAGUGACAGGCCAUCAAAAACUGUACAGUGUGACUGAUUCGGAGACGGCCCUCAACACUCGCCCAGUCGUGUCGAGAGGAUCGGUGUCUUUGCAGAUUACACGGAAUUGAGCACCCGGGCCAGACUGACACUUUCCGGAGCCUGCCCUAGACGGAACUCGAGCCGAGGAAUCAUAGGUCCAGGUGUGACAAAAGACUUAAAGCUCAUGUCUGACGAUGACUUUUUUUAGUCAGGAAGCCAAGUGUGUUGUUUUUCCAUGCAAGCGAGCCCUUUUGUUGGGUCAAAUGACAUCAGCAUUGCUGCUUCUACAUGGAUUUUACCUAAAAUGUGCAAAAAAUAUAUAAAAAGUUUGUUCGAAUCCAGUUCAAAACCUGCUUUGAUGCACAAAUAUUGCCAUUGAUGAUUUUUUUCCCUUAUUAAGCCAUAUGUAAGAUAAGCUUUGCCUAUUAGAAUCGAAAGACAUGCCUUGUAUGGAGUCUAAGUGCUGCAUGUAUGAUGUAACCGAGUUUGGCUUUUCUACCUUAAUUCUUGACGCGAAACGCUGUUACGCAUGGCGCUUUCAACGGCAACUUUUAUGAAUUAAUCUGUGUGUCAUUGUACCGGAACUUUGUGAUCUUUCUCAAAACAGAUUAUACCUGUGGGAAAAGUGCCUUUAAUUUAAAUUUGAAGGGGUUGGGUUCUCUUAAAGGUCACAUAACCCCAAACCGGAACUCCUGUUUUUAGGGUUACAUGCAGUCAGUUUGAUACUUAGCACACAUUGUUGAGUGCAUGCUGCCUAGGAUUUGUAAAAUACAUUGCAAAUGGUUGGUUUUGGUAUCAACUUGAAGGUAUAUUUGUAAGCAAUAAGAAAAUAAGCCAUUUUUGUGCUCUACUUUUUGUGUUGAUGGUUCCCGGCUUCGAAAGUAGGUCAUACUAUUUGAGCCCAAAAUGGUUGUCUGCACAGCUGUCAAAACCGGUUUGCCUAUUCUAAGGUAAAUAUUUUGAGUUUGCGCGUAUAGAAUUUAAUGACAUGCAUUUUUUUCAAAAGAUUAUGCAUUAAUCUUUCCAAUGAUGUAUGAUGAUAUAGUGGGUAUGCGCUUGAU